rnacentral:rRNA from 1 species
GACGAACGCUGGCGGCGUGCUUAACACAUGCAAGUCGAACGGAAAGGCCCUGCUUUUGUGGGGUGCUCGAGUGGCGAACGGGUGAGUAACACGUGAGUAACCUGCCCUUGACUUUGGGAUAACUUCAGGAAACUGGGGCUAAUACCGGAUAGGAGCUCCUGCUGCAUGGUGGGGGUUGGAACGUUUCGGCGGUUGGGGAUGGACUCGCGGCUUAUCAGCUUGUUGGUGGGGUAGUGGCUUACCAAGGCUUUGACGGGUAGCCGGCCUGAGAGGGUGACCGGCCACAUUGGGACUGAGAUACGGCCCAGACUCCUACGGGAGGCAGCAGUGGGAAAGAUUGCACAAUGGGCGGAAGCCUGAUGCAGCAACGCCGCGUGCGGGAUGACGGCCUUCGGGUUGUAAACCGCUUUCGCCUGUGACGAAGCGUGAGUGACGGUAAUGGGUAGAGAAGCACCGGCUAACUACGUG